rnacentral:rRNA from 1 species
CCGCGUGCAGGAUGACGGUCCUAUGGAUUGUAAACUGCUUUUAUACGAGAAGAAACACUGCUUCGUGAAGCAGCUUGACGGUAUCGUAAGAAUAAGGAUCGGCUAACUCCGUGCCAGCAGCCGCGGUAAUACGGAGGAUCCAAGCGUUAUCCGGAAUCAUUGGGUUUAAAGGGUCCGUAGGCGGUUUAAUAAGUCAGUGGUGAAAGCCCAUCGCUCAACGGUGGAACGGCCAUUGAUACUGUUAAACUUGAAUUAUUAGGAAGUAACUAGAAUAUGUAGUGUAGCGGUGAAAUGCUUAGAGAUUACAUGGAAUACCAAUUGCGAAGGCAGGUUACUACUAAUGGAUUGACGCUGAUGGACGAAAGCGUGGGUAGCGAACAGGAUUAGAUACCCUGGUAGUCCACGCCGUAAACGAUGGAUACUAGCUGUUGGAAGCAAUUUCAGUGGCUAAGCGAAAGUGAUAAGUAUCCCACCUGGGGAGUACGUUCGCAAGAAUGAAACUCAAAGGAAUUGACGGGGGCCCGCACAAGCGGUGGAGCAUGUGGUUUAAUUCGAUGAUACGCGAGGAACCUUACCAAGGCUUAAAUGUAGAUUGACCGGUUUGGAAACAGAUCUUUCGCAAGACAAUUUACAAGGUGCUGCAUGGUUGUCGUCAGCUCGUGCCGUGAGGUGUCAGGUUAAGUCCUAUAACGAGCGCAACCCCUGUUGUUAGUUGCCANCGAGUCAUGUCGGGAACUCUAACAAGACUGCCAGUGCAAACUGUGAGGAAGGUGGGGAUGACGUCAAAUCAUCACGGCCCUUACGCCUUGGGCUACACACGUGCUACAAUGGCCGGUACAGAGAGCAGCCACUGGGCGACCAGGAGCKAA